rnacentral:lncRNA from 1 species
CCAAGUGGCAGGUUCAUUCAUUCGUCCGUUCUAGUUAUUCAUGGAGAACCCAUCAUGCUUUACUAAAUGUGAGGCCGACAUUUAUGGAGGCCUGGCUAGAAAAGCAGGAGCGACCGGGAGGGCCUGAGGUGCUGACCGCAGCACAGGCCCUAUCCGGAAAGCCAUGGAGGGCCAGGGAGGAUCUCACCAGGACAUGGACAUGAUCAGACGUGUGUGUCGGCCAUCGUGUGCGAGACAUGCUGGGGACCCCAGCCGGGGGGCACUGGGGCUGGGCAGGCAGGGCAAGGAGCCGUAUCUCAAAGAGAUACAUCUCGUAAGAGAAUGCAGGC